GCUGGAAUAGCUCAGAUGG
rnacentral:siRNA from 1 species